AGCGCAGACGGUUUAUUAAGUCUGAUGUGAAAGCCCGGAGCUCAACUCCGGAAUGGCAUUGGAAACUGGUUAACUUGAGUGCAGUAGAGGUAAGUGGAACUCCAUGUGUAGCGGUGGAAUGCGUAGAUAUAUGGAAGAACACCAGUGGCGAAGGCGGCUUACUGGACUGCAACUGACGUUGAGGCUCGAAAGUAUGGUAGCAAACA
rnacentral:rRNA from 1 species